rnacentral:rRNA from 1 species
GGCUCUUUGAGGAAAAUUCAUGAAGAGUCUAACCUGCCCAGUGAUGUAAUAUUUUUAACGGCCGCGGUAUUCUGACCGUGCAAAGGUAGCAUAAUCAUUUGCCUUAUAAUUGAAGGCUCGUAUGAAAGGUUUGACGAGAAUUAAGCUGUCUCCGUUGACUAAUAAGAAAUUGACUUUUAGGUGCAAAGGCCUAAAUUUGACUAAAAGACAAGAAGACCCUAUUGAGCUUAAAAAUUUUAUGAUAUUUAUUACAAAUUAUUGAAUUCUAGUUCAUGGUAAAUUUUUA